UACGUAGGGCGCAAGCGUUGUCCGGAUUUACUGGGUGUAAAGGGUGCGUAGGCGGCAAAGCAAGUCAGGAGUGAAAUCUAUGGGCUUAACCCAUAAACUGCUUUUGAAACUGUUUUGCUUGAGUGAGGUAGAGGUAGGCGGAAUUCCCGGUGUAGCGGUGGAAUGCGUAGAGAUCGGGAGGAACACCAGUGGCGAAGGCGGCCUACUGGGCCUUAACUGACGCUGAGGCACGAAAGCGUGGGUAGCAAACAGG
rnacentral:rRNA from 1 species